GUUCCUACUGUGUGACACAUACUAAAAUUGGGACGAUACAGAAAAGAUUAGCAUGGCACCUGCAAAAGGAUGACACACAAAUUCAUGAAGUAUUCCAUUUUUUU